rnacentral:rRNA from 1 species
CCUACGGGUGGCAGCAGUGAGGAAUAUUGGUCAAUGGCCGUAAGGCUGAACCAGCCAAGUAGCGUGAGGGAAGACUGCCCUAUGGGUUGUAAACCUCUUUUAUGCGGGGAUAAAGGUGUCCACGUGUGGAUGUUUGCAGGUACCGCAUGAAUAAGGACCGGCUAAUUCCGUGCCUGCAGCCGCGGUAAUCCGGAAGGUCCGGGCGUUAUCCGUAUUUAUUGGGUUUAAAGGGAGCGUCGGCCGGUCUUUAAGCGUGCCGUGAAAUUUUGUGGCGCAACCAUGAGAGUGAGGCGCGAUCUGGAGACGUGGCGUGAGCGGAAGGCAGGCGGCAUUGGUGGUGGAGCGGUG